GGGGACUGAGACAGCAGAAGUCUCCAAAGGUAAUUGUGAACUUAAAACUCUAAAAUAAUUUCCACGUAUUUGCAUUACAACAUAUAUUUUUCAUUGUAGAAAGAAUAAUUUAAGUCCCUCAAAGUUUUUUUAAUUAUUACUUAUAGAGGAUAUAGGUUCGGAGACAACAGUGUUGUAUGUAAAAGAACUACUGAAAUUAAAUGCAAGAAUAUUGAAGAUUACGGCUGAGCCUGUUUGUAGUUGCAAAUGUUAUUGCUUUCACUAAAAUUACUUUGAGACUAUUAUGUUGCCAUGAACCUUAUUCAAGUGGCAAGUUUUCUCACCCAAAGUAUGUUCAUCUUUCUCAAAUGAAAAAUUAUCCACAUAUAGAACAGGUAUUUACAAUCAUAAAGCAAAAAAUUAGUUAUUAUAUUUUAAUUAUUAUACCAGGUCCUAUAGGUAGCAUCCACUGAUGUAGCAUCAUUGAAUACUACUUUAUAUAGGACCUGGCAAAAUUACACAUAGGAAUUAGAAUUUUAAAGUGAACAAAACAAUUCCUUUUCUAUAAAAGCUAAAAAUGGCAUUCAAAUGUCAUUAACAUAAAUUGACAUAUAUGCAGAAUAUUGUAAGACCACCAAGGAGGACUCUACAAAGAAGAGGUAAUUAUUUUUAUAUGAAUGGCAGCUUAUUUUCAUAAUAAUAAUUAAUCACAUAUAAUCAUUGGCUUCAUGUGUUGUCCAUUUGUGAAAUAACAUGAUAGAACAUAAAAUGUGUGCUAAGGGUAGAUAAUAUUGGAAAUCUAGAAUAGUACUCAGUUGAGGAGAACCUUGAAGGUCAAACUAAGCCACUAGAUUAUUUUUACUUCCUUGGGAAACACAAAAAGUUUUGUUUACCCUUUCCAACUCUCUGAGAAAUGGCCUGUGUAAAGAAUGCUUAAGAAGUUUGAUCUGAAAAUACAUCUAGAAUAGUCCUAACUGGGCUGUUCUCAGGUACCUUACUUGGAGAUUCCAUAUGAUUUCAAAAGCAUUUCAAUGAUGAAAAGUCUAAAAGAACACAUCCCAAAGAAUAGGCAUGUUAGGAAAUGACUCAGAAUAUCCUACAACUGAUACUGAGAAAGAUGUAGAUCACAGGCUAGGCAAAAUUUUCUGAGCGGUGUGUGGGCAACUAUUAUGUUUUGUUUUGUUUAUUGUAUGUGUGUGUGUGUAUGUGUGUGUCUAUAUAGUUAUUGGAGCACAAGCAAGGGCAUACGUACUCUGGGGGAAAAAAAUCUUCCAAACUCCUUUUACAAGGCCAGCAGUACCCUCUUGCCAUAACUAGGUAAGGAUACUACAAGAAAAUAAAAUUACAGACCAAUAGGCCUGAUUAAUGUAAAUGCAAAAACUCAAAAAAAAAAUCAAAUUCAGCUUCACUUUAAAAGGAUUAUGCAUCAUGAACAAGUGAAAUUUAUCCCUUGGAUGCAAGGAUGUUCAACAUGUGCAAAUCAAAAAAUGUGAUACACCAUGUUAACAGAAUGAAAAAUAAAAAACAAAUGAUAAUCUUAACGCAGAAAAAGUAUUUGGUAACAUUUAAUGUCUUUUCAUAACAAAAAAUUUCAACAAAUUAUGUGUAUAAACAAUGUACCUCAACAUAGUAAGUGCCAUAUACUACAUAUAAUAAGCCUGUAACCAAUGUCAUAUUCAAUGUUAGAAAUCUGAAAGCUUUUCGUCUAUGAUGAGAAACAAGAUUAAGAUGCUCACACUUUCUACUUCUGUUCAAUAGAGUACUGGAAGUCCUACCCAGUCUAACUAGGCAAGAAGAAGAAAUAAAAGUCUUCUGAAUCAGAUAAGAAGUAAAAUUGACUCUGUUUGCAGGUGACAUGAUCUUAUUUAUAGAGAACCAUAAAGACUAUUGGAAAAAACUCUCAAAGGAGGCACAUGACUGAUGCCUGAUCCAAUGUCAGUGAAUUCUCCUGGUCCAGGGAGUCUUGCUCUGUCACCCAGGCUGGAGUGCAAUGACUUGAUGUAGGCUCACUGCAACCUCUGCCUUCCAGGUUCAAGUGAUUCUCCUGCCUCAGCCUCCCGAGUAGCUGGGAUUACAGUACAUUAUCCACCUGAAUUGAAGAAGCAGAACCAGCCAGAAGAGGAAACACUGUAAUAAAAUUAAGAUCUGGACUCUAAUUCUGUUUUAUUUUCUCAACAUAUAAACCAUGAGUAAAUUGUUAAUCUUAAAAGAAAA